AGAGUUUGAUCCUGGCUCAGGAUGAACGCUGGCGGCGUGCCUAACACAUGCAAGUCGAGCGGAGAUAGGUUGAAGCCUAGCGAUUCCUAUCUUAGCGGCGGAUGGGUGAGUAACACGUGGGUAACCCUGCCCUGUACUGGGGGAUAACAGCUGGAAACGGCUGUUAAUACCGCAUAUGCGCACGGAGCCGCAUGGCCCUGGGCGGAAAGAUUCAUCGGUACAGGAUGGGCCCGCGCCGGAUUAACUUGUUGGCGGGGUAACGGCCCACCAAGGUGAUGAUCCGUAGCCGACCUGAGAGGGUGACCGGCCACAUUGGGACUGAGACACGGCCCAAACUCCUACGGGAGGCAGCAGUGGGGGAUAUUGCACAAUGGGGGAAACCCUGAUGCAGCGACGCCGCGUGAAGGAAGAAGUAUUUCGGUAUGUAAACUUCUAUCAGCGGGGAAGAAGAUGACGGUACCCGCACAAGAAGCCCCGGCUAACUACGUGCCAGCAGCGGC
rnacentral:rRNA from 1 species